UACGGAGGUGGCUAGCGUUUUUCGGAAUUACUGGGGGUAAAGGGCGCGCAGGCGGCUGCUCAAGUCAGGCGUGAAAGGCCUGGGCUCAACCCGGGAAUUGCGCUUGAGACUGGGCUGGCUUGAGUGCGGGAGAGGAUGGUUGAAUUCCCAGUGUAGAGGUGAAAUUCGUAGAUAUUGGGAAGAACACCGGUGGCGAAGGCGGCCAUCUGGACCGCAACUGACGCUGAGGCGCGAAAGCGUGGGGAGCAAACAGG
rnacentral:rRNA from 1 species